rnacentral:lncRNA from 1 species
UGUGACUCCUGGUCCCUUUCCAAACUGGCCAGGAGGUGAGGCUGCUGGGUAAGGAGCCAGCACGGGCUUGGUCUGGGCUGAGGCUGCUGUCAGGGGCCAGUCCUAGGCCUCAGGGAGAUCCUGGGGCCUGGGCAGGUGUGGUGUUGGAGGACUGGGGCACAUGUGUGUGUCUCUCUGGGCGCAUCCCCAUACCCCAAGCCCAUAGAGAAGACACCCAGCAUCUACACAUCCCUCUCCGUCACCUUGCUCUCCACCGUUCCUUCACUCUGAAGCCCCUUGGCGAGCAUGUGGGGUGCUGUGGAUGUGGCCGAGACGCCCAGCGCCUCUGCCCUUAAGGCACACACCCUCCGUUAGGGAGGACCAUCUGCACUCAGGUCAUCUAGAUGUUACCAACAGUGAGGUGAUAGAAUGUGUUUGGGGGGGUGGGGGUGGUUCUUGACCAGCCUAGGGUUAGCCAGGUGCAGGGAAGAGAGGCUGGGCACCCUCAGGGAAUGGAAAGCAGCUCUCUGUGCCCACAGUGCAGGAAGUGGGCUCAGAGAACAUGGCAAGAGCUGAGGCUGGAGAAGUAAGUAAGGGCCUUGAGGGCGUUUAAGGAGCUUGGGUCUUAUCUCUUGGGCAGUGGGGAGCCACUGCAUAGUUUUAAGCAGAGUGUGCUGUGUGUGCAUUUGGCAUCUCCCUCUGGCUGGAGUCUCAGGGAUGGACUGGAGGUAGGGGGCCAACCAGGAGGCUGUUGCAGACAUGCAAGGGAGAGGCGAUGGCUAGGCAGGGGGUGCUGGAAGCUGAGAGAAGAGGUCAGCGUUGACUUACACUCAGGAAGCAAAAUCAGCAGAGUGUGAUGCUUGAGGCUUCAUUGGUUUGAGUGUAUAGAUCGAUAAGAGGAGAAUCAGCACCUUCCAAUCCAUGAACAUGGUACACCUCUCCAUUUAGUGAGGUCUUCAAUUUUUCUCAGCAAGAUUGUGAGGUCUUCUUUAAUUUCUCUCAGCAGCAUUGUGAGGUCUUCUUUAAUUUCUCUCAGCAACAUUGUGAGGUCUUCUUUAAUUUCUCUCAGCAACAUUGUGAGGUCUUCUUUAAUUUCUCUCAGCAACAUUGUGAGGUCUUCUUUAAUUUCUCUCAGCAACAUUGUGAGGUCUUCUUUAAUUUCUCUCAGCAACGUUUUGUAGCUG